rnacentral:rRNA from 1 species
UACGGAGGGAGCUAGCGUUGUUCGGAAUUACUGGGCGUAAAGCGCGCGUAGGCGGCUUUGUAAGUUAGAGGUGAAAGCCCGGGGCUCAACCCCGGAAUUGCCUUUAAGACUGCAUCGCUUGAAUCCGGGAGAGGUGAGUGGAAUUCCUAGUGUAGAGGUGAAAUUCGUAGAUAUUAGGAAGAACACCAGUGGCGAAGGCGGCUCACUGGCCCGGUACUGACGCUCAUGUGCGAAAGCGUGGGGAGCAAACAGG